CACCGGCUAAAUACGUGCCAGCAGCCGCGGUAAUACGUAUGGUGCAAGCGUUAUCCGGAUUACUGGGUGUAAAGGGAGCGCAGGCGGGAAGACAAGUUGGAAGUGAAAUCUAUGGGCUCAACCCAUGAACUGCUUUCAAAACUGUUUUUCUUGAGUAGUGCAGAGGUAGGCGGAAUUCCCGGUGUAGCGGUGGAAUGCGUAGAUAUCGGGAGGAACACCAGUGGCGAGGC
rnacentral:rRNA from 1 species